rnacentral:misc_RNA from 1 species
AACGCACAUUGCGCCCCUUGGUAUUCCAUGGGGCAUGCCUGUUCGAGCGUCAUUUGUAUCUUCAAGCUUUGCUUGGUGUUGGGUGUUUGUCGUGCUCUAUGCGUGGACUCGCCUUAAAUCAAUUGGCAGCCGGUAAUCUGGUGUUAAGAGCGCAGCACAUUGUGCGCUCCUCGCUGUGUAUUGCGGCGUCCAUUAAGCUUAUAUUUUUUGCUCUUGACCUCGGAUCAGGUAGGGAUACCCGCUGAACUUAA